rnacentral:lncRNA from 1 species
UUUGGUUAGUCACAAUGGUUCCUUUUGGAACCCAUAUUUUUUUCACAUUAAAAUUUUCAGAUUUGUUAGAGAAACAAGUAUAGGAUUUAUGUCCUACUAUACCACAUUUAAAGCAAGUAGUAUUUGAAAACUUAUUGCUUGAUGAGUUCGCAUAGAUGGAUGCAAGACACACCUGCAUGUAGCAAUUAAGUUUUCACUUUAGGUACCCAACUUUUCUUGGGUUCUCUUUGGUUAG